rnacentral:ncRNA from 1 species
UUUAACGAGAGUUUGAUCCUGGCUCAGGAUGAACGCUGGCGGCGUGCUUAACACAUGCAAGUCGAGCGAAGCGCUUUACUUAGAUUUCUUCGGAUUGAAG